CAUGCAAGUCGAACGAUGAUCCGGUGCUUGCGCCGGGGAUUAGUGGCGAACGGGUGAGUAACACGUGAGUAACCUGCCCUUAACUCUGGGAUAAGCCUGGGAAACUGGGUCUAAUACCGGAUAUGACUCCUCAUCGCAUGGUGGGGGGUGGAAAGCUUUAUUGUGGUUUUGGAUGGACUCGCGGCCUAUCAGCUUGUUGGUGAGGUAAUGGCUCACCAAGGCGACGACGGGUAGCCGGCCUGAGAGGGUGACCGGCCACACUGGGACUGAGACACGGCCCAGACUCCUACGGGAGGCAGCAGUGGGGAAUAUUGCACAAUGGGCGCAAGCCUGAUGCAGCGACGCCGCGUGAGGGAUGACGGCCUUCGGGUUGUAAACCUCUUUCAGUAGGGAAGAAGCGAAAGUGACGGUACCUGCAGAAGAAGCGCCGGCUAACUACGUGCCAGCAGCCGCGGUAAUACGUAGGGCGCAAGCGUUAUCCGGAAUUAUUGGGCGUAAAGAGCUCGUAGGCGGUUUGUCGCGUCUGCCGUGAAAGUCCGGGGCUCAACUCCGGAUCUGCGGUGGGUACGGGCAGACUAGAGUGAUGUAGGGGAGACUGGAAUUCCUGGUGUAGCGGUGAAAUGCGCAGAUAUCAGGAGGAACACCGAUGGCGAAGGCAGGUCUCUGGGCAUUAACUGACGCUGAGGAGCGAAAGCAUGGGGAGCGAACAGGAUUAGAUACCCUGGUAGUCCAUGCCGUAAACGUUGGGCACUAGGUGUGG
rnacentral:rRNA from 1 species